AAAUGUGGCAAUGUUGUUUAUAUACCACAUUGUAAGUCUACUGGAGAUCCAAAGGGAUUUGCCUUUGUGGAAUUUGAAACAAAAGAACAAGCAGCAAAAGCUAUUGAGUUUCUUAAUAACCCACCAGAGGAAGCACCAAGAAAACCUGGUAUAUUUCCCAAGACAGUGAAAAACAAGCCCAUUCCUGCCCUUAGAGUAGCUGGUGAAAGAAAAGAAAAAGAAGAAGAAAGACCGAAUGAAGAAAGAAGACAGUAUCCAGACCAAAGAGUCAAAUAUGGACACAAGCAAGGAAAGCAUCUGUAAAAAAAGAUCGAGGACCACAUCUGAGGGCUCUGAAGUAGAGGUUACUGAACCCCAAAAGCCACCCACAGAGAAGAAGAAAAAACGAGAAAGAACUGAAGUAUCCAGCUUACCUUUAGGCAAUACAGGGAAGGGAAAGAGAAGGAGCUCUGAAGAUGCAGAUUACCUAACUCCCAAAUCAAAACUUGAAAAAGUGGCUCAGAAAGACAACAU